GUCUAUGGCCGUACCACCCUGAACGUGCCCGAUCUCGUCUGAUCUUGGAAGCUAAGCAGGGUUGGGCCUGGUUAGUACUUGGAUGGGGGACUGCCUGGGAAUACCACCAGGUGCUGUAGGUG
ensembl:rRNA 5S_rRNA 5S ribosomal RNA